UAAUAUACUUUAUUUUGGUAUGAGAGUUUUCUUUAACAUUUUUUUUACAUGUAAGAUUUGGUGUUUAAAAGUUACAAAAAUAGUGAGCAGAAUUAUUAACUUAAUGAGAAUUAUAACUAGAAAUUGGUGUAUGUUAAUUUGCUAAUGUUGUGCCAGCAGCUGCGGUUAAACAACUAAUUAAUGAAAACUUUAUGUUUUAUUUUUAUUGUACAUUUUAAUUUAUAAUUUUGAAUUUGUAAGUAAAAUUUUAAUUUAAUUUAUAAUUGGGGAUUAUAAAAAUGAAAUUUUAUUUAUAAACCAGGAUUAGAUACCCUGUUAUUUAAAAUUUAAAAUGAUAGGAGUAGUAUUAGUUAUGAUCUUGAAACUCAAAAAAAUUGGCGGUAUUUUAUCUUAUUAGAGGAAUCUGUUUAAUAAUUGAAACUCCACGACUUUAUUUUACUUUUAAUAGUUAACUUGUAUACCGCUGUCAUGAAUGUAUCGGGGGAUAAUUUUCUUGAAUUUUUGUAUAGGAGUUAAUGUUAGGUCAAGGUGUAGUUUUUAAAAGUUUAAAAUGGGUUACAAUAACAAUUAGGAAUGAAUUUAAGUAAAAAUAUUAUUAAUAAAAAAGGAUUUAACAGUAAUAAUAAAUGAAGUUUUAGAAUGAACAAAGAUUCUAAAAUAUGUACACAUUGCCCGUCACUCUUAUUUAAAUUAAGAUAAGUCGUAACAUAGUAGAUGUACCGGAAGGUGUUUCUGGUAAGG
rnacentral:ncRNA from 1 species